AACGAACGCUGGCGGCAUGCCUAACACAUGCAAGUCGAACGAAGUCUUCGGACUUAGUGGCGCACGGGUGCGUAACGCGUGGGAAUCUGCCCUUGGGUGCGGAAUAACUUCUCGAAAGGGAUGCUAAUACCGCAUAAUGUCGUAAGACCAAAGAUUUAUCGCCCAAGGAUGAGCCCGCGUAAGAUUAGCUAGUUGGUGGGGUAAAAGCCUACCAAGGCGACGAUCUUUAGCUGGUCUGAGAGGAUGAUCAGCCACACUGGGACUGAGACACGGCCCAGACUCCUACGGGAGGCAGCAGUGGGGAAUAUUGGACAAUGGGCGAAAGCCUGAUCCAGCAAUGCCGCGUGAGUGAUGAAGGCCCUAGGGUUGUAAAGCUCUUUUACCCGAGAUGAUAAU
rnacentral:rRNA from 1 species